GAGAACGCUGGCGGCGUGCUUAACACAUGCAAGUCAGGGAGAAAUUCCACUUCGGUGGGAGAGUAAACCGGCGAACGGGUGAGUAACACGUAGGUAACUUGCCCUGGAGUUGGGGAUAACUUUGCGAAAGCGAGGCUAAUACCGGAUAACACAAUAAGAUCACAUGAUUUUAUUGUCAAAGUCAGAACGACUUGUCGGACUGACGCUUCAGGAUAGACCUGCGCCCGAUUAGCUAGUUGGUGAGGUAAUAGCUCACCAAGGCGACGAUCGGUAGUCGGCCUGAGAGGGUGACCGGCCACACUGGGACUGAGAUACGGCCCAGACUCCUACGGGAGGCAGCAGUGAGGAAUAUUGGUCAAUGGGCGAAAGCCUGAACCAGCAACGCCGCGUGAGGGAUGACACACCAAGGUGCGUAAACCUCUGUUAGAAGGGACGAACAAUUCCGAUAGUCUCGGAACCUGACGGUACCUUCAGAGAAAGCCCCGGUUAACUCCGUGCCAGCAGCCGCGGUAAUACAAGCCGAAUUCCAGGCAAAC
rnacentral:rRNA from 1 species